rnacentral:tRNA from 1 species
UCCCCGCUGGUCCAACCGGCAGGACGCCAGGCUCUGGACCUGGAGGACGAGGUUCGAAUCCUCGGUGGGGAGC